rnacentral:rRNA from 1 species
GACGAACGCUGGCGGCGUGCUUAACACAUGCCAGUCGAACGGAAAGGCCUCUUUCGGGGGGUACUCGAGUGGCGAACGGGUGAGUAACACGUGAGUAACCUGCCCUUCACUUUGGGAUAACUUCAGGAAACUGGGGCUAAUACCGGAUAGGAGCUCCUUCUGCAUGGUGGGGGUUGGAAAGUUUCGGCGGUUGGGGAUGGCCUCGCGGCUUAUCCGCUUGUUGGUGGGGUAGUGGCUAACCAAGGCUUUGACGGGUAGCCGGACUGAGAGGGUGACCGGCGACAUUGGGACUGAGAUACGGCACAGACUCCUACGGGAGGCAGCAGUGGGGAAUAUUGCACAAUGGGUGGAAGCCUGAUGCAGCAACGCCGUGUGCGGGAUGACGGCCUUAGGGUUGGAAACCGCUUUCGCUCAUGACGAAGCUUUGUGUGACGGUAGUGGGUAAAGAAGCACCGGCUAACUACGUG